rnacentral:rRNA from 1 species
AUUGAACGCUGGCGGCAUGCCUUACACAUGCAAGUCGAACGGUAACAGGUCUUCGGAUGCUGACGAGUGGCGCACGGGUGAGUAAUACAUCGGAACGUGCCCGAUCGUGGGGGAUAACGAAGCGAAAGCUUUGCUAAUACCGCAUACGAUCUACGGAUGAAAGCGGGGGAUCUUCGGACCUCGCGCGGACGGAGCGGCCGAUGGCAGAUUAGGUAGUUGGUGGGAUAAAAGCUUACCAAGCCGACGAUCUGUAGCUGGUCUGAGAGGAUGAUCAGCCACACUGGGACUGAGACACGGCCCAGACUCCUACGGGAGGCAGCAGUGGGGAAUAUUGGACAAUGGGCGAAAGCCUGAUCCAGCAAUGCCGCGUGAGUGAUGAAGGCCUUAGGGUUGUAAAGCUCUUUUACCCGGGAUGAUAAUGACAGUACCGGGAGAAUAAGCUCCGGCUAACUCCGUG